AACGAACGCUGGCGGCAUGCCUAACACAUGCAAGUCGAACGAAGCCUUCGGGCUUAGUGGCGCACGGGUGCGUAACGCGUGGGAAUCUGCCCUUGGGUUCGGAAUAACAGUUAGAAACGACUGCUAAUACCGGAUGAUGUCUUCGGACCAAAGAUUUAUCGCCCAAGGAUGAGCCCGCGUAGGGUUAGGUAGUUGGUGGGGUAAUGGCCCACCAAGCCGACGAUCCUUAGCUGGUCUGAGAGGAUGAUCAGCCACACGGGGACUGAGACACGGCCCAGACUCCUACGGGAGGCAGCAGUGGGGAAUAUUGGACAAUGGGCGAAAGCCUGAUCCAGCAAUGCCGCGUGAGUGAUGAAGGCCUUAGGGUUGUAAAGCUCUUUUACCAGGGAUGAUAAUGACAGUACCUGGAGAAUAAGCUCCGGCCAACUCCGUGCCAGCAGCCGCCGUAA
rnacentral:rRNA from 1 species